rnacentral:lncRNA from 1 species
AACAGUUGUAUAUUUAUCUCCUGUGCAUUUUUAAACAUCAGAUGCAACAUUGUCUUGGUCAAAGAUUGAACUAACUGAUUGAAAUGCAAAAAUUUCUGGGGUAUAAAAAUCAGUCAGUGCUGAGACGUAAACUACUACAAAGGGAUGUUUUCAGCAAUGAUCCUACACACAGGCAGCAAGCUUAGAGCAAUCUCAGACAGGAAGCAUCCACUGAACUUCUUACACAGAAAUAUCAGUUCCAAGUUUUUCUCCCAGAAACUCUACGUGUCAGGAGGAAAAGGCAAGUGUUUACAACUGGGAUGGGGAAAUUCUGGCACAUUUGGCAGUGUCAAGCUCUGUGAGUUCAGCAGCAAGCUGCUGUUUAUUUUAUGUUUGUCAGCAUGA